rnacentral:sRNA from 1 species
CGCCGUGUAUCCUGAACGGGCUUUACGGCGGUGUAUUUUAAUUUUUGUUAGGAGUGUCAUAGUGGCCCGUAUAGCUGGCAUUAACGUUCCUGAU